GGCGGAAUGACCCGGCCGAGUGGUCCAAGGUGCUGGAUUUAGGCUCCAGUCUCUUUGGGGGCGUGGGUUCAAAUCCCACUGCUGCCA